rnacentral:misc_RNA from 1 species
GAUGAAGAACGUAGCGAAAUGCGAUAAGUAAUGUGAAUUGCAGAAUUCAGUGAAUCAUCGAAUCUUUGAACGCACAUUGCGCCCACUGGUAUUCCGGGGGGCAUGCCUGUUCGAGCGUCAUUAUAACCACUCAAGCUCUCGCUUGGUAUUGGGGUUCGCGGUUUCGCGGCCCCUAAAAUCAGUGGCGGUGCCUGUCGGCUCUACGCGUAGUAAUACUUCUCGCGAUUGAGUUCGAUAGGUCUACUUGCCAGUAACCCCCAAUUUUUACAGGUUGACCUCGGAUCAGGUAGGGAUACCCGCUGAACUUAAGCAUAUCAAUAAGCGGAGGA